GCUUACAGCCAUACCAGUUUGAAAGUGCCUGAUCUCGUCAGAUGUCAGAAGUCAUGCAGACUUGGGCCUGAUUAAUACUUGUAUGGGAGACCAACUAGGAACCUGAGGUGCCGUAAGCU
rnacentral:rRNA from 1 species